GACGAACGCUGGCGGCAGUGCCUAAUACAUGCAAGUCGAACGCUUUGAUAUUCACCGGAGCUUGCUCCACCGAAAAUCAAAGAGUGGCGGACGGGUGAGUAACACGUGGGCAACCUGCCCAACAGAGGGGGAUAACACUUGGAAACAGGUGCUAAUACCGCAUAAUUUGUCUUUCCGCAUGGAAGAAUAAUAAAAGACGCUUCGGUGUCACUGUUGGAUGGGCCCGCGCUGCAUUAGUUAGUUGGUGGGGUAACGGCCUACCAAGACCAUGAUGCAUAGCCGACCUGAGAGGGUGAUCGGCCACACUGGGACUGAGACACGGCCCAGACUCCUACGGGAGGCAGCAGUAGGGAAUCUUCGGCAAUGGACGAAAGUCUGUUCGAGCAACGCCGCGUGAGUGAAGAAGGUUUUCGGAUCGUAAAACUCUGUUGUUAGAGAAGAACAAGUGAGAGAGUUACUGUUCUCACCUUGACGGUAUCUAACCAGAAAGCCACGGCUAACUACGUGCCAGCAGCCGCGGUAAUACGUAGGUGGCAAGCGUUGUCCGGAUUUAUUGGGCGUAAAGCGAGCGCAGGCGGUUUCUUAAGUUUGAUGUGAAAGCCCUCGGCUCAACCGAGGAAGGUCAUUGGAAACUGGGGAACUUGAGUGCAGAAGAGGAGAGGGGAAUUCCAUGUGUAGCGGUGAAAUGCGUAGAUAUAUGGAGGAACACCAGUGGCGAAGGCGACUCUCUGGUCUGUAACUGACGCUGAGGCUCGAAAGCGUGGGGAGCAAACAGG
rnacentral:rRNA from 1 species